rnacentral:rRNA from 1 species
UACGGGGGGGGCAAGCGUUGUUCGGAAUUACUGGGCGUAAAGGGCUCGUAGGCGGCCAACUAAGUCAGACGUGAAAUCCCUCGGCUUAACCGGGGAACUGCAUCUGAUACUGGAUGGCUUGAGUUCGGGAGAGGGAUGCGGAAUUCCUGGUGUAGCGGUGAAAUGCGCAGAUAUCAGGAGGAACACCGGUGGCGAAGGCGGGUCUCUGGGCCGAUAUUGACGCUGAGGAGCGAAAGCGUGGGGAGCGAACAGG